GCAUCCUGCAAUUGUUUCUUCAGGGAGGAGGAAACAGUUGUAGCUCUCGUGCUCAGAACACCCAUGGAACUGUAAAGCAGAUGCGAAUUGCAACUGUUAGACGUGCCACAGCUGACAAUCUCAGAAAUUGUAAAAAUUCCAUUUUGGAAAUUUUUUGUGGGGAGCACUGAGAAGAAAAUCCAACGAGUACUGAUUGUCAGCAUGCAAGCUGCUCUGAGACACUGGACUUCCUUGUGAAACAGUACAUAGACAAGAAAGAU
rnacentral:lncRNA from 1 species